rnacentral:misc_RNA from 1 species
AAUGAACCAAAACUGCAGAUUCAGGUCAUGUACAUAUGGCCUGCCCAAUUUUGGAGCAAUUGAAAUAGACUGGAGUGCAACUCCUGUAACCUUGAAGCUUGAAGUGAGGGACACGAAUGGAUACCCUGUCACUGGUGUAAAAUUUCCAUUGUUGGAGCUGCAAUCACUUAGCAUGAACCCUGUGACAUCCAUUAAAUUAGGAAGGCAUAAAAGUCAUUGCUUUCUUGAAGUAAAUUUACCAUGGAUUAUCAGAUACCGCCUGG